UCCGGCAUGGUCUAGUUUUUUUUCUGUUUUUUUUUGUGGCUAGGAUACCUGGCUCUCAGCCAGGAGGCCCGGGUUCGAUUCCCGGUGUCGGAA